AAUAUAAUCUUAAUAUAACAAAAUUUAAUUUCGAAUUAAAUAAUUAAUAUAUACAAUAAAUAUAUUU
rnacentral:tRNA from 1 species